CGGCGGGGCUGUGCGCUGCAUCCCUUUAUCUACGUACACCGGGCGAAAGUCCCCGGGCGAUGGGGCAGAGAGUGCCAUCCCGGAAGGGCAGGUCCCCUGCGCGUCUUGUUAGGCCGCGGGGCAGCUCGCCAUAGCAACAGUAAUGUGGCCAGUGGAGAUGCAAUCCACCAACUCAACGGGGCUUACUCCCGCACUGAC
rnacentral:RNase_MRP_RNA from 2 species